UUUCAUCGUCAAACAUCUCGAUUUGGAGAUCAUCAAUCAAAGGGUUUUUUAACAUUAAAUCUGUUUCUUCCAAUGGAUUUUUGAUAUUCAUCCGUAGUUCUACAUUAUAUAGUUGCAUCAUUAUAUAGACUUUUUCCACUCUUGAAUGCAGGCGAGGCAACUCAAAUUUCGAAACAAAAUACCAUGAGCUUCAUCUCCCAAAUUUGACCUACAAAAUUUCUUCCCUCCUCCUGGGGUCCGACUCCUCUCUCUCUCUCUCUCUCUCUCUCUCUCUCUCUCG
rnacentral:lncRNA from 1 species